UACGUAGGGGGCAAGCGUUGUCCGGAUUUACUGGGUGUAAAGGGUGCUCAGGUGGACUUUUAAGUCAGAGGUGAAAUCCCAAAGCUUAACUUUGGAGCUGCCUUUGAUACUGGAAGUCUUGAGUGUGAGAGAGGGCAAUGGAAUAUCUGGUGUAGCAGUGAAAUGCGUAGAUAUCAGAUAGAACACCAAUGGCGAAGGCAGUUGCCUGGCUCAAUACUGACGCUAAAGCACGAAAGUGUGGGGAGCAAAC
rnacentral:rRNA from 1 species